GGACGCUUAGCUCAGUUGGUUAGAGCACGUGCUUCACACGCACGGGGUCUGCGGUUCGAGUCCGCAAGUGUCCACCA
rnacentral:tRNA from 1 species